AGUUUUUAUGCGGUUCCUGCGCUUGCAGAAACUCCUAGCAGACUGCGCAGUAGACUAGGAGGAAAAUGUUGCUGUUGCAAGAUUUAAAAUAUUCCGAUAAAAAAUAUUCCAAAAUUAUAAUAAAAUAAUUAUGAUUAUCGAUUUUUUUUCAAAAAGCUGAAAAUUAAAUUCAUAAAUGGUAAAAUCCUUUACGUACACACUUGUAUAAAAUUUGAAAAAUAAUAUUUUCUAAUUAUUGAUUGAAUGUAUUCAAACAAUUAAUCACAAGUAACUAUCUAAAUUGGUGACAUUUGGCAACAGUGAGUAGAUCUGGUUUAUUUAUGUAUGUUUAUUCCAAACAUAACCUUAUAAACAAACAGUUGUUUAUUUAGAGUUAUUUAUUAUUGUUUUCUGAUAUUUUGCAAUUGUUAAGUUGGUUUACUUCGAAUUUAAUAUGCAUUACUGUGGUAUUUCUCCAGUUUUCUAAGAAGGUUGGUGAUUUUGAAUUGGGGUUAUGAUGAAUUUAACCCAAAGGCAAUGUGUGUUUAUUUAUGUGGCAAAAUUCCAGGCACCAUAAAAAUUUGAGUUUCUUCCUGUUGACCAUGGAUGAAAAUCGGUUUGCAGAAUGAAAAGAAAUUGUUCAAUGUGAUAAACUUUCUAUGAACAGUCCUCAAUAUUGUUACAUUAACUUUUAAAUAUGCACUUUACAUCUUGAGGAGCAGGCCUUUGCAGAAAUACUGAAAAGCGGGUUGCAAAACAACGCAAAAUAAAAUAAACGAAAUAUGUCUUGAGAUUAAAGAUUCAAGUUGAAGGUGUGUUCUUUCUUAAACUGG